GGUAGCACGGGGGAGCUUGCUCCCUGGGUGACGAGCGGCGGACGGGUGAGUAAUGUCUGGGAAACUGCCUGAUGGAGGGGGAUAACUACUGGAAACGGUAGCUAAUACCGCAUAACGUCGCAAGACCAAAGAGGGGGACCUUCGGGCCUCUUGCCAUCAGAUGUGCCCAGAUGGGAUUAGCUAGUAGGUGGGGUAAUGGCUCACCUAGGCGACGAUCCCUAGCUGGUCUGAGAGGAUGACCAGCCACACUGGAACUGAGACACGGUCCAGACUCCUACGGGAGGCAGCAGUGGGGAAUAUUGCACAAUGGGCGCAAGCCUGGUGCAGCCAUGCCGCGUGUGUGAAGAAGGCCUUCGGGUUGUAAAGCACUUUCAGCGAGGAGGAAGGUGAUGAACUUAAUACGUUCAUCAAUUGACGUUACUCGCAGAAGAAGCACCGGCUAACUCCGUGCCAGCAGCCGCGGUAAUACGGAGGGUGCAAGCGUUAAUCGGAAUUACUGGGCGUAAAGCGCACGCAGGCGGUUUGUUAAGUCAGAUGUGAAAUCCCCGGGCUCAACCUGGGAACUGCAUUUGAAACUGGCAAGCUAGAGUCUCGUAGAGGGGGGUAGAAUUCCAGGUGUAGCGGUGAAAUGCGUAGAGAUCUGGAGGAAUACCGGUGGCGAAGGCGGCCCCCUGGACGAAGACUGACGCUCAGGUGCGAA
rnacentral:rRNA from 1 species